rnacentral:rRNA from 1 species
UACGAAGGGGGCUAGCGUUGCUCGGAAUCACUGGGCGUAAAGGGUGCGUAGGCGGGUCUUUAAGUCAGGGUGAAAUCCUGGAGCUCAACUCCAGAACUGCCUUUGAUACUGAAGAUCUUGAGUUCGGGAGAGGUGAGUGGAACUGCGAGUGUAGAGGUGAAAUUCGUAGAUAUUCGCAAGAACACCAGUGGCGAAGGCGGCUCACUGGCCCGGUACUGACGCUGAGGCACGAAAGCGUGGGGAGCAAACAGG